CAGAGGUGGCAAGCGUUGUUCGGAUUUAUUGGGCGUAAAGGGUCCGUAGGCGGUUUGGAAAGUCGGAUGUGAAAUCCUACAGCUUAACUGUGGAACUGCAUUCGGAACUUCCAGACUGGAGUGUGAGAGGGGUAAAGGGAAUUCCCGGUGUAAGGGUGAAAUCUGCAGAGAUCGGGAAGAACACCAGUCGCGAAGGCGCUUUACUGGCUCACAACUGACGCUGAGGGACGAAAGCUAGGGUAGCAAACGGGAUUAGAUACCCCGGUAGUCCUAGCCGUAAACGAUGAUCACUAGGUGUUGGGAGGGUUAAACCUCUCGGUGCCGCAGCUAACGCAUUAAGUGAUCCGCCUGGGGAGUACGGUCGCAAGGCUG
rnacentral:rRNA from 1 species